UGAAAUAAACACAAAGUCUCUUUCUCUAAAUACUUUUAACAGACGAAGUACCCUGCCCUCAGGCAAAAAGGCUUCCAGAGUCAUAGUAGGUUUAUUUGAGAAUGAAAAAAAAUGCUAAAGAUAUACUGAUAACUUUUAAGACAAACUAUCAUAGAAAACCUGGUAAAACCACUUCAGCUUAAAAUUUACCCUUAUAAAUUCAACAAGCAUGAGAAAUAAGCAAAAUAUACCUGCAGCUUUACACAAAUUAUAUAUAUUUUAUAAUUAUCAUUGAGACUUGGUAAAAUGCUACCAAUGACCGGACUGUAACAGCAGUUCUCAAAUAUGUUGGUCUCAGGGGCUCUUGACACUUUUUAAAAAUACUGAGGUGCUUUUGUUUAUGCGAGUGAUAUCCAUCAAUAUUUACUAUGCUAAAAUUAAACAGAAAAAUUUUAAACGAGAAUACUAAGUUCACAUCCAAUUAGUGAUCAGAGCAAUGAAGUCAUCACAUGUGAUGCAGUAUUUGGCAAACUCCUCUGCCUGUGAAAGAAUGGUGGUGUCACUGGCAGAGAACAUCUCAGUAGAAUUGUGAAAACAGUUUCAAUCUUCCUUCCAGACCCCUAGGGGUCCCCAGCCCUUACUGAUGGAAAGAGCACAC